CCAAGACGUACCUGGAGCGCCGUCGAGUACGCCGACGACCUCCGUCUCGCCCCGUCGUCAUCUCCAUCCUCCCCAACCUCUCCCUCGACGUGCUCAUCAUCUGUGCCGACGGAACCUCAACAGCGUCGAUCUUGGUCGAGCUGCGCCUGCCUUCGCUCAAAGGGCCGAGCCCCUCUUCAGUCAUCAGUUAAUCUAGCAGUUCGCGUAUUCCAUCUGCACCGAAGACGCCGGUACCGAGGAGUACGGCGAGGAGUACGACUACUACCCUGAGGAGGAUCGUGCCGGUUUCUCUUCUUCUGACUUGA